AUACGGAGGGUGCAAGCGUUAUCCGGAUUCAUUGGGUUUAAAGGGUGCGCAGGCGGAUAUUUAAGUCAGUGGUGAAAUCCCGGGGCUCAACCUCGGAACUGCCAUUGAUACUGAAUAUCUGGAAUAUGGUUGAAGUGGGCGGAAUGUAGCAUGUAGCGGUGAAAUGCAUAGAGAUGCUACAGAACACCGAUCGCGAAGGCAGCUCACUAAGCCGAUAUUGACGCUCAGGCACGAAAGCGUGGGGAGCGAACAGGAUUAGAAACCCUAGUAGUCC
rnacentral:rRNA from 1 species